CAUAAUAGUCCAAUAACUUAGUGCAAGCUUGUGGCUGGCUAUUCGCUUGCCGCAUCAUUUUGAAUCGUUUCUAGCCUGAGCCACCUUUGUGUUAUCUCCACUCCGAGCGGUCACCUCCGUACUCCAGGCCAUGAAAGGUUAGAUUUUUCAAGGGAAUGCCUAAAUGACUUUUUAGGAGACAUCUUAUGCCUAAAUUGUGGGAUAAAGAUACUGAAGUGGAGACCAUUAACAAAAGGAACUCUAAACUUAAAGACCUGAUUAAGAUGUUGGCAGUAGAAGUACAACGAGAGCAUGAUCAAUGCACUCUCAAGUACAACUUGGAACAGGCACCUGAAAGAUUUGGCGGCCUGCAUGCUAUUUCUACCUUGUCGGCAUCUUUGCCUAAGCAACUAUGCAAGCAAUGCGAGAGAAAGCUGAGCUUCUUCCCCUGUGCCAGUCCCUGGAAGAUGCUUGGAGACACGAGUAUCUUAUAAAAUGCUGCUAUGUUUAUAAAUCAAUAUUUUACUGAACUGCAGAACCUAUGUCGAAUUAUAGUUAUGUAAUGAGUUCUAAGCCAUUCUCUUCUACCCUUGCUAUUUCUAAACCUUUGACAAUUAACCAUGUAUUG